AUAUGUUAUUUAUUAGUUUUUUAAACAUAUUACAGGGCAGUUAAGUAGUUUAUUUGAUAAACAAUUUUUAUAUGAUUUGAAUAGAUUUUUGUUUCUCUGGAUGGAAGUAUUUUGGUUCAGCUUUAUGGUAUUUGUGAAAUUCCUGGCUUCCCUACCCUUAAAUUACUGUGUAGAACAAAGUCAUUUAACGGUGUUAAUAACCUGUCCUUAUAUCUUAAUACUCCUGAGGACAUUCUUUUGAUAGCCAUGAGAGAUUGAUGCAUUGCAGCUUUUCUUUCAUGUAGGCUAGCAAUGGUAGAUGGUUAACAAACAUGGACAAGGUCAAAUGGUGUGAAAAGGGGGAAGAAAGGUAUUUAAACUUACCAUUGGCGCGAUCUAAAAAACUCAAGGACAGCUGAGAAACAAAGUUAAUGACAUCAAUCAGUCUGGAAAGGGUUACAAAGCCAUGUGUAAUGCUUUGGGACUCCAGUGAACCAUGGUGUGAGCCAUUAUCCACAAAUGGAAAAAUCGUCGAACAGUAGGGAACCUUGCCAGGAGUGGCCGGCCUACCAAAAUGACUCUAAAAGAACCCAGAACAUUAUCUAAAGAACUGGAGGAGUCGGAGUUAAUGAUUCAGCAAUAAGAAAGAGAGUGAACAAAAAUGGCAUCCAUCGGAGAGUUCCAAGGAGAAAACCACAGCUGACCAUAAAGGACACAAAGGCUCAUCUCACAUUUGCCGUAAAAUAUCUUGAUGGUAUUCUGUGGAUUGAUGAAACAAAAACUAAACUUUCUGGAGUGCUUGUGUCCCAUUACAUCUAGAGUAAAACUAACACAACAUUUCAUAAAAAUAACAUCUUGCCAGUCAAACAUGGUGGUGGUAGUAUGAUGGUGUGGAGCUCCUUUACUACUUCAGGACCUGGACGACUUGCCAUGAUUGAUGGAAUGAUAGAUUCUGCUCUCUACCAGAAAAUCCUGAAGAAAAAUGGUUGGCCUUUAGUUUGUGUGUGGCCUGAAGGAUGCAGGAUGUUGAUCCAAAACAUGCCAGCACACCAAAUCCACCUCUGAAUGGCUCAAAAAAAAUAAAGAAGGAGGUUUUGAAGUGACCUAACAAGUUUGGACUUAAAACCAUUGUUUCCCCUUAAUAAAUGAAUAAUUUAAAAACUGCAUUUUGCAUUUACUAAGGUUAUCUUUGUCUGAUAUUAAUUUUUUUUUGUCACGCUGACAUGUUUCAGAUCCAUGUAUAAAAACCAAAGAAAUCAGGACGUGGUCAUGAACAGCACUGUAUAUGCAAGUAACUCCUCCAAGCCAAAAGCUGAGACUUCUGACUACUCCAGUAUUCAGUUACUGCGUCAGUGACAGGGGAUGUGUCCCACCCCUCUACUGUUCAACCUCUUUUUGCAAGGGCAGCUAAUUAGUACAAAGCUGGUUUAAAAGAUGGGUGGUCUUAAAGAGACCAUAUAAAUUGCUUUUUUCCAUAAACUGGGGGUCUACAUCAAGAUGAAUAUUAAUUUCUUGCAAAGUAACUUUAGCAUAGCACAAGAAUCUAAACAUGGAAAUGGAUCCACUUUAACGCCCCGAGGUUUAUGUAGGUCUAACCUGUACCAUCACAAAAUGUGAUAAGCUUUUGAAAAACUGAAUUUUAGAUUAUUAAAACGGCAAUUCUAAUGAACACUGGCUUUACCAAUACAGCCAGAUUAACUUUGCAAGUUCAGUGUCAUUUGUGCAGAUUUUUUUUUUUAGCGUUAGUUAAUAAGAAAUACCACCAUCGUGCUAAAGGAGGAGAAACGGCUUUGCCUUCAAAUAUGCUUUAUAGCUGUGUGUGUGCGUGUGUGUGCUCAUCCUCUGGUUUUCUUGAGAUGCACAAAGAAGCACAGCUUGUUUGAACUUGACCUCAUCGCUGUCAAGACAGCCACUUUCUUUGAGUUGAAGUUGGUCCAUUGUUUUUAUGGACUGGCUCUAAAGAUUACUAAUGAUUUAUAUGCGUCCACCCCAUUGUAGUGCACAUGGAUUAAAGUUGUCCUGCUUUCUGGCUCAAACGUCUUUGUGUGGUGGCGGCAGUUUAAGUAAUGCAAUCUGAACCGUAUGUCAUGCUCUGACAGCACGUCAGUCACCAGGCUUUAGCCCCGAAAUGAAGUGAACAUCUCUCUUUCUGUCAGGCAGAAAUCAAAAGGAGUACAGUGGCAGUGUGGUUAAAGCUUAAACUUAAAAGCACACACGGAGAGAACAUAACUGAGUCAGCAUGUGUUUUAAAAGUUGUUUCUUUGGGUGAAUAAAUGUUAGGACCAAUUGAGAAACCAGACUGAAAUCUUUACUGUACCAAAGGCCACAGUCAGAAAUAAGAGUAAUAGAGGGAUACUGAAAAGGAAAAUCAAUGUCCAGAACUGUUCAUCUCACAAGAAAGGAUUCAUUUUGAAUGUCUAUGACAUGGAAUUGGAUGGCAGAAUUCCUAUAGACAACUCUGAAUUACAUUUGACAAAAAAACAUUAGUUUUGGAAUUGAUCAUCAUCCCAGCCUUGCAAGCUGUUGGUUAGUGUACAACACACAGGGUGGGAAAAAAUGGAUUACACACACAUUCCAAAUGCAACAUACACAUGCUUCCAAAACCUAGAUGAUGACAACAAAUCCCACAUCUUAAUCGAAAGAAGCAGUUUUAACCUAAAUCUAGACUCUUUGAAUGUUCUUAUAAAAUAAAUACAUUUGUGUCUAGUUUAAAUUUAUAAGUUAGAUUUGCUCAGAUUUUCAUCUUUUUAGAUGUGCCUUUGAGUACAUUUUGGCAAUAUUUAAAUGAUUCAAAUAAUAAAUUAUAUCCAAUAUUACCAGAAGUUAAAAAAAAAAAAAAAAAAAUCCAAAUACUUGUCUCCAUUACGUCACUACUCUUCAAUAUCAAAUAAAUUUUCCGUCUAUACUUUGUACUGUAAUCCAGGCAGUUCUCAGUGUUGUGCAGAUGACACAGCUGUGGAUCUCGUUAACUGCUUUCUGCGUGUCUAUGAAGUGAAUCAGAAGUGGUGGUUAUCUCUUUCAUCACAGCUACUUGUUAUAUUGUUAAAUGCCUCGGCCAAGUGUCCAUGCUGUUCCUUUGAACAACACAGAGGCACUACAUUGAUAUGCCAGCGUAGUUGUUAAAGCUUUUUUUACAACGUAACACGCAGGUUUUUUUGCUUUUGUUUUGUUUUUUAAAUGUACCUCCUUUCAGGAUGACUUUCAAAGCCAUUACUCAUGCUUUUUGUGCUCAGCUUGCCUGUUGUAACUCCCAGCACAGUGUCUUUCUAAUUUCCCAUUAAUACAAAAGGCUUCAGGCAGACUGCGCAGAAGGAUUAGGGAGUCACAUAUUCCGCCCAUCCUGGUCCUCCUCUGCUGGG